rnacentral:rRNA from 1 species
GGGCCCGCACAAGCGGUGGAGCAUGUGGUUUAAUUCGAUGAUACGCGAGGAACCUUACCAGGGCUUAAAUGUAAGUUGCAUAAGUUAGAGAUAGCUUUUUCUUCGGACUACUUACAAGGUGCUGCAUGGUUGUCGUCAGCUCGUGCCGUGAGGUGUCAGGUUAAGUCCUAUAACGAGCGCAACCCCUGUUGUUAGUUGCCAUCGAGUAAUGUCGGGAACUCUAACAAGACUGCCGGUGCAAACCGUGAGGAAGGUGGGGAUGACGUCAAAUCAUCACGGCCCUUACGUCCUGGCUACACACGUGCUACAAUGGCCGGUACAGAGAGCAGCCACUACGCGAGUAGGAGCG